rnacentral:lncRNA from 1 species
GGUAUUCUAAGAAUAGGAAUAGUGUUUGAAAAUAGUAGUUUUAAUAAAAUAGUUUAUAAGUAAACAGAGUCAUUGCAUCACUCUGAAACAAAGGUUUCAACAAUCAAACAACAAGCAGAGAACUUGGUCAAAAAGUAUCAAAGCAAAGAUUCCCACUGCACAUAUUUAUCUAAAUUCAUUAGUUAACACUAGGUGCAUAUAGCAUGCUGAGAACAAAUAACCAAACAGACAGAGGAGCAGGGGUUGGGGAGUCAUAUUGGUCAUAAGAAAUAAGCAUGAGUCUAGUUCAUAUGGAUACACAAAAGUCUAGCUAAAGUAGGAACAAAUAGAUUGAGGGCAUUCCACAUAUAGAUUCAUCCAGACAGAGGCAGGCAGGUUAUAGUAGUCAACAUAGAAGCAAACAUAUGAUGGCAGUAGAAAUAUAGGCUCGAGCAAGACAGAAGAAAGGGCAUGCUAAUUACAAGGAAUCAUAUAGCUUAAUACGAAUAGUAGGAAAAAUGCAAUAUAAUUGAAUGUUAAUACAUAAAUUGACUAAGAAUAAGAAGCAUGAAGCACAUUGGAUUAGUUAAGGAUACAUAGACUGAUCUAGAAGAUCCUACUAGUUUAGUAACAUAAAAGAGAUAUAAUAGGAAUAUGAAGUACACAAAUUAAAUUCAUACAGAGGUUUGCAUGAUAGUAAAGUGGGAGCAUAAUAGUUAGAAAAGCAGAAGCAGAAAGUAAAGUAGCAGGAUUCAACAGCCUAGUCCUGGCUUUCAUCCAACUAGACAAAUUGAUGAACACAAGUAACAGAGAGAUGAGAGAAGAAUUAAUGUGUGAAUGUGCUUAUGAACGAUUGUCUUUUCUAGAGAAAUUAGAAUGAGAGUAUAUAUAGCACUUAGAGAGUAUUGCAAAUAAGGAAAAGAGAAUUAGAGGUCAGACAAUUAGGGACAAUCAAAUAAUUAUAGAAUCAAAUCAUGUAAGGGAAUACAAAAUAUGCCCCUUAAUUAUGGAUAGCUACUUAACGGUAAUAGAAAACUGAGCUAGUUAGGGUAAAGAAUCCAAAUCAUACUUAAAUAUGGAAUCAGUAAGAAUCUUGAACCAUACAAAUAGUUUAUUAAGGCUAGGCAAGUAAAUAUUGUAAAUAAGGUAAAUGAAGUAACCAAAUAACCAGUCAAGCUCGAUUGGGGAUAGGAAAUUAGGGAAUAAUACCAUAAAUAACCCUAAUUGAAUUUCAAAUAAGGCAAGAAGUACUUUUAACAGUCAAUUAGGGUUAGAACUAUUAAAUCCAGUAAUUAGUUUCACAAAUAGGGCAACACAAGCAAUUAGAGACCAAUCAAAACGUCAAUCAACCCAUAGAUAGACAGAAGAUGUCAAUUAAGAACUCAUAAUUAAUGAAAACAAUAAGAUAUCAUUAAAUUAGUUUAGUAAACAAAGGAAACCCUAGAUAAUUUGGCUGAUCAAUCAAUUAUUCAAAUAAUAACGAACAAGAUGGUGAAAUCAAACAGUGAAUACUCAAACAAUCGAACCAGAAAUAUAACCAUGCAAGAAAGGAUUGAACACAUACAUAAGACAUUUCAGAAAAAUUUUCUUGCGAAGACAGAGUUAAAACACAUGAUUUUACAAAGAUAAUUAGGGUUGAUUAGUAGUAGGAAGAUUAGGGGAGCUUUAAAGAAAUAGCCAUGGAAAAAGAAAGUACCUCAAACAUACAGAGAUUCGAAUAGCAAAAAUAAGAUAAAUCUAAAGCCUAAAGUAUCAUAGUUCUAAAAAUCGGUUAAUAGUAAAGGAAUAGGAGAAACUUAAAUAAAAAUCACGAAAACUUGAAAAUAUUUCAAGUAUGCAGAGAUUCGAACAACAGAUGACAAAGAACUCAAAAUAUAAAGUAAUAUAGUGUUAAAAUUGUUAAUCUAUUGGGAAACAAGAGAACAUAAAAGAAAAAACGGGCGACGAACUCGGAAUCUCUCCAUAUAUAUAAAGAUCUGGAAGGAUUCAUGUUUAAAAUUAGGGUUUUGAAGAAGAAUGAAAGGGUAAAGGGAAUCCAGUCUCAAACAAGAGAUUUGGACCGCAAAAGCAUCGGAAUAGUAACACUCAUAACCAUAGAUGGACUUUCAAAGAGUCUUGAACCAGAUCUGGUUGGAUCUCUUCGAGAUUUUUUUAGGAAAUCAGAAGAACGAGCAACCAGGAGACGUAGAAAAUCAGCAGGGGUCUCAAACACCCGUGGAAAUCCAUGGAUCGAGUGAGGAUCGGAGGGAUUAAGGCUUAUUUUGGGUGGCGGCGGCUAGGGUUAGGUUUAGGUUUCAGAGAGAGAACUGAAGAGAUGAGGGAAUGAAGGAAACGGAGUGUAGUG